UGGGGAAUAUUGGACAAUGGGCGAAAGCCUGAUCCAGCCAUGCCGCGUGAGUGACGAAGGCCUUAGGGUUGUAAAGCUCUUUUGGCGGGGAAGAUAAUGACGGUACCCGCAGAAUAAGCUCCGGCUAACUUCGUGCCAGCAGCCGCGGUAAUACGAAGGGAGCUAGCGUUGUUCGGAAUCACUGGGCGUAAAGCGCACGUAGGCGGAUUGUUUAGUCAGGGGUGAAAUCCCGGAGCUCAACUUCGGAACUGCCUUUGAUACUGGCAAUCUCGAGUCCGAUAGAGGUGGGUGGAAUUCCUAGUGUAGAGGUGAAAUUCGUAGAUAUUAGGAAGAACACCGGUGGCGAAGGCGGCCCACUGGAUCGGUACUGACGCUGAGGUGCGAAAGCGUGGGGAGCAAACAGGAUUAGAUACCCCCGUAGUCCCUGAGCGGGCUGGCAAGGCGCAU
rnacentral:rRNA from 1 species